GGACUACCCGGGUAUCUAAUCCCGUUCGCUCCCCUAGCUUUCGCGCCUCAGCGUCAGAAGAGGUCCAGCACGUCGCUUUCGCCACCGGAGUUCCUUCUGAUAUCAACGCAUUUCACCGCUCCACCAGAAGUUCCACAUGCCCCUACCUCACUCGAGACCACCAGUAUCCAAGGCACUUUUCCGGUUAAGCCGAAAGAUUUCACCCCGGACUUGGUGGUCCGCCUACGCGCCCUUUAAGCCCAGUGAUUCCGAACAACGUUUGGACGGUUCGUCUUACCGCGGCGGCUGGCAC
rnacentral:rRNA from 3 species